AUUUUGUUAUUCUUUGAAGUCUCAGAGCGCUUUGGCCCAAUUUAUAUUUAUAUGUUGUCAGUUAAGAUGCUUCAUAUGAUCAAGGUUGUGUUUAUUUAUCUCCGGCGUCAGCCUUUUCCUUCUGUUAGUGGAGAUUUAGGGGGUGACUUGUGUGCUCUGUUUCAGCAUUAAUAACCAGAAGUCCGUAUCUGUUUCCAGAGGUACGCAAGUUGAAUUCCUCCAACGAGCAGCCUCAAGUAGCAGCCAAGCAGCCUCUGGAGUGAGUGUGCACCUGAGUGCUGAGAUCCGGUGGGAGGGGUGUGAUCUUGUUUCUCAGUUACAAAUGCACCUGUCUAUACCACCCCACCCCCACUUUGUAAUGUUGGGCACUGGACGCUGGAGAAGAGCUCUUUUGUCUGCUGGUUUUGUUAUGUCUGCCUGUAGGUGGCGCUAGAGAGCAACCAGAAGGUGGGAGGAAGGAGAAGGUGCAGGCGGUCCCACGUGUGUUCCUUGUACCUGUCCUGAUGCUUCUUGCCUCCGCCAGUGCACGUGGUUCCAGUCUCCAGCUGUUAUUUGCACUUUCCAAGAACCAGCUUCAUCGUCCCUCUUUGGCUGUGGAAGCGCCAGCUGGGCAGCAUCCCUCCUCACAGGUGCACGACAUAAUAAUCCGGUAUUUGUAUGUCCUGCAGUCAGCUGAUCCACUUACGAAGCAAGAGUCGAGAGUCGAGCCCCGAACUGAUUCCCUCAAAACCAGCCAUCCUUAUGUUCCCUUGGGAAAACUUAAUGGCCCUCGGGAGACCUGUGUUUUCCAGUUGGAAGGGCUCGCCUCUAGGGCACGCCCCCCAAAUCCUUGAUAUCCUUAUCUGUUACAUGUUUUCCUCAAGGUUAAUAUAGAAUUACCGUUCAUACCAAGUUCUGUGUGGCUUUUUGGCAUCCUUUCCUUGGGGGUGAUGGAAAAUGCUUCCGGAAUUCACCUUCACUUGUCUUGUUGGAAGGAAAAAUGGUCAUAUUCCCGGCACCAGAGGAAUUUCUGCUUCCACGGAAUGUACCCUGAAAACGCCCCCGUGACGACUUCUCCACGUGGCCCCUGGAUGAAUGACCGCAGUCACGGACACAAAAUCCCCAACACUUCCCUUCCAGCAGUGCGACCCUCGGUUCCAUUAGUGCUGAUGUUCCUCCCUAGGGAAUCCUAACGCAGUCUAGUGCCCGAGCCAGACCUUGACCGCACCUGCCCAAGCUCCUCUUUCCUUUUCCACGUUUCUCACUUGGCAGGUUCCAUUUGCUGCUUGACUGUUGAGGCGACAUAAAAUCCCGGCCACCCUGAGCGCCCCUCAGUGGCUCCCGACAAUAUCGGAGCCAAGCUGAUUUCAGGGCUCGCCGGUCUCAGUGAUUGCCCAAACCUGUAUAUUUUAUUUUCGAACCUCAGCACCUUUUGCUUUUUUCCCUUUAAGUGAACAGCGGAAAAGAUGAUAACAGAGAGUCUUUA
rnacentral:lncRNA from 1 species